UUGUAGGUGGCUUGUCGCGUCUGCCGUGAAAACCCGAGGCUCAACCUCGGGCGUGCGGUGGGUACGGGCAGGCUAGAGUGUGGUAGGGGAGACUGGAACUCCUGGUGUAGCGGUGAUAUGCGCAGAUAUCAGGAAGAACACCGAUGGCGAAGGCAGGUCUCUGGGCCAUUACUGACACUGAGAAGCGAAAGCAUGGGGAGCGAACAGGAUUAGAUACCCUGGUAGUCCAUGCCGUAAACGUUGGGCACUAGGUGUGGGGAACAUUCCACGUUUUCCGCGCCGUAGCUAACGCAUUAAGUGCCCCGCCUGGGGAGUACGGCCGCAAGGCUAAAACUCAAAGGAAUUGACGGGGGCCCCGCACAAGCGGCGGAGCAUGCGGAUUAAUUCGAUGCAACGCGAAGAACCUUACCAAGGCUUGACAUGCACCGGACGACCUCAGAGAUGGGGUUUUCUUUGGACUGGUGCACAGGUGGUGCAUGGUUGUCGUCAGCUCGUGUCGUGAGAUGUUGGGUUAAGUCCCGCAACGAGCGCAACCCUCGUUCCAUGUUGCCAGCGCGUAAUGGCGGGGACUCAUGGGAGACUGCCGGGGUCAACUCGGAGGAAGGUGGGGACGACGUCAAAUCAUCAUGCCCCUUAUGUCUUGGGCUUCACGCAUGCUACAAUGGCCGGUACAAAGGGUUGCGAAACUGUGAGGUGGAGCGAAUCCCAAAAAGCCGGUCUCAGUUCGGAUUGGGGUCUGCAACUCGACCCCAUGAAG
rnacentral:rRNA from 1 species